UGAUAAUUCCCACCAAGCUGCU
rnacentral:piRNA from 1 species